CGUGUGGUUCUAUUUUGUUGGUUUCUAGGACCGCCGUAAUGAUUAAUAGGGACAGUUGGGGCCGUCUGUAUUCAAUUGUCAGAGGUGAAAUUCUUGGAUCUAUUGAAGACAAACUACUGCGAAAGCAUUCGGCAAGGAUGUUUUCAUUGAUAAGGAACGAAAGUUAGGGGAUCGAAGACGAUCAGAUACCGUCGUAGUCUUAACUAUAAACUAUGCCGACUAGGGAUCGGACGAUGUUAUUUUUUGACUCGUUCGGCACCUUUCGAGAAAUCAAAGUGCUUGGGCUCCAGGGGGAGUAUGGUCGCAAGGCUGAAACUUAAAGAAAUUGACGGAAGGGCACCACCAGGGGUGGAACCUGCGGCUUAAUUUGACUCAACACGGGGAAACUCACCAGGUCCAGACACAGUGAGGAUUGACAGAUUGAUAGCUCUUUCUUGAUUCUGUGGGUGGUGGUGCAUGGCCGUUCUUAGUUGGUGGAGUGAUUUGUCUGCUUAAUUGCGAUAACGAACGAGACCUUAACCUGCUAAAUAGCCCCUAUUGCCUCGGCAGUAGGCUGGCUUCUUAGAGGGACUAUCGGCUCAAGCCGAUGGAAGUUUGAGGCAAUAACAGGUCUGUGAUGCCCUUAGAUGUCCUGGGCCGCACGCGCGUUACACUGACAAAGCCAGCGAGUAUUUCCUUGGCCGGAAGGCCCGGGUAAUCUUGUUAAACUUUGUCGUGC
rnacentral:rRNA from 1 species